CACCAGACUCCUACGGGAGGCAGCAGUGGGGAAUAUUGCACAAUGGGGGAAACCCUGAUGCAGCGACGCCGCGUGAGCGAUGAAGUAUUUCGGUAUGUAAAGCUCUAUCAGCAGGGAAGAAGAUGACGGUACCUGACUAAGAAGCCCCGGCUAACUACGUGCCAGCAGCCGCGGUAAUACGUAGGGGGCAAGCGUUAUCCGGAUUUACUGGGUGUAAAGGGAGCGUAGGCGGCGAUGCAAGCCAGAUGUGAAAGCCCGGGGCUCAACCCCGGGACUGCAUUUGGAACUGUGUGGCUGGAGUGUCGGAGAGGCAGGCGGAAUUCCUAGUGUAGCGGUGAAAUGCGUAGAUAUUAGGAGGAACACCAGUGGCGAAGGCGGCCUGCUGGACGAUGACUGACGUUGAGGCUCGAAAGCGUGGGGAGCAAACAGGAUUAGAUACCCGCGUAAC
rnacentral:rRNA from 1 species